rnacentral:rRNA from 1 species
AGCGAACGCUGGCGGCAGGCUUAACACAUGCAAGUCGAACGGGCUUCUUCGGAAGUCAGUGGCAGACGGGUGAGUAACACGUGGGAACGUGCCCUUCGGUUCGGAAUAACUCAGGGAAACUUGAGCUAAUACCGGAUACGCCCUUAUGGGGAAAGGUUUACUGCCGAAGGAUCGGCCCGCGUCUGAUUAGCUUGUUGGUGGGGUAACGGCCUACCAAGGCGACGAUCAGUAGCUGGUCUGAGAGGAUGAUCAGCCACACUGGGACUGAGACACGGCCCAGACUCCUACGGGAGGCAGCAGUGGGGAAUAUUGGACAAUGGGCGCAAGACUGAUCCAGCCAUGCCGCGUGAGUGAUGAAGGCCUUAGGGUUGUAAAGCUCUUUUGUCCGGGACGAUAAUGACGGUACCGGAAGAAUAAGCCCCGGCUAACUUCGUG